GUUAACCAAAAGUUUGUCCGAAGUGUUUUUUCAGUUCUUUGUUACAGUGGAAAGUUACAGAUCCGAGGGGGUGUGUGAGAAAGAACAAAGACCCCCGCCCAGGAAAAAGGAAAAAAUGUGAAAUGGAGAAUUCAGUUUGUAAAAUGGCGGCAGGGCGGAGCCAAACGUCACAUGAUGGCUCGGGAACCAAUGGAAACAACGACACGUAGUUUUAGGCUCAAAAAUACUGCAUGAUGGGAAAUGUGACGUAUACUCUGACUCCUCCCAGGAAAAACAGUUUUCUCCAUUGCUAACGGAGAACUGCUAAGAUUCGAUGUUAGGGACUUGGGGGAGCAGAGCUCUGUACUUAGAUGGCCUGUUAGGGAAAUAAAUCUUCGUGACUUAAUCUUCCGAAUCCUGGUCAUCUAUAUUCUGGUAUGUAUUAUUAGCUGAUAGUGUAAUGUUGACUAAAAUACCUAAACUUCCCUUCCAGUGUUGAAUACGCGGUGUUGUCCGGAUGUGAAUAAGGACAAGUGACUUGGCAUUUUAUUUUUGUUUUUAUCGUGUGCUGUGGUUUUAGUGUGUUUUUAUAUUGGUUUUAUCUUGCAGUGCAUUUUAACCCUAUUUAUAGUUUUAAGGACUUGCUAUAGUCACAUGUUUUUAUCACAUGGCUUUUACCCCAAUCCCUGCUGCGGGACAAUCAAAGCACCUGUGCCUGGCGGGAAUCGGAGCCAACAAAAAGGAGCGCAGGAGCCACGACAGAGAGACAGGAAGACAGAGAGAGCAAGGAGGAAAGGAGGGCGCAGGAGAGGACACGCGGCCGCCGGAGCCGGAGCCGGAGCUGGACAGACGCAGAGGGACAACAAGCACGCAGGAGCAGGAAAGCCGCGGCCUACCACCACGAGCAGGACGAGCAGGACGGGACACGCAUCGGGGACCACGACCACGCUGGGACCGCAAGUGCUGCGAAGCGACAUACACGUAGGGGCAGAGGAGGGCUCUGCCUUCAGUGUGAGUACCCUUUGGGCACGUAGUAGCACUUGUCGGAUAAAGGUAGCGCGAGAAUAUUAUUGUUUAGAACAUUUGACUGCCGCUAGUUUCCGCGUAGGUGUCUCAGCGAGUGGAAGACGAGAGCCAGCCGGGAGAGAUCGAGACUGAGUGAAGGAGUGUUGUGAUGCUUGAGGCACGCAGGGGCAGAGGAUAACUCUGCCUUGUGUGUAAGUAUUGUAGCGACACUCCGCCAUCGUAGCCUAAGGCCUUGUAGUCUCGGACCCCCGUGCUGGCGUAUGCUUUGCAUCCUAGGUGACCCGGUGCGUGUGACCCAGGUUGGAGUGCUGCCCUGGACCAGGAGGGAGUGGGACCUGCCUGCACCUGACCGUGGACCGUGCCUUUUAGUAGUUUUAACCCUUUUUUUAGCCCACCGUGUUUUUAAUGGACUUUUAGCCUAGUGUUUUUAUUUGUGGGCAUUUUUACUGUUUUAAUUAUUCCUUGCAUUAAAUUUUAAUAACCUGCCACAACCUUUUUGUCCUCCUUGGUAGACAGGUGUGCUCUCACCCGGUCACUCAAUCUCUUUUUUUUUUGCAAUAGUUAUUUUUCCGGUCAAAUUUCAUUCCGCUUUCAAACACCUCCAUAGCACCCCCCCCCCCCCCC
rnacentral:lncRNA from 1 species